rnacentral:rRNA from 1 species
CUAUGGGCUGCAGCAGUGGGGAAUAUUGGACAAUGGGCGCAAGCCUGAUCCAGCAAUGCCGCGUGAGUGAAGACGGCCUUAGGGUUGUAAAACUCUUUCGCUAGGGAAGAUAAUGACUGUACCUAGUAAAGAAGUCCCGGCUAACUCCGUGCCAGCAGCCGCGGUAAUACGGAGGGGACUAGCGUUGUUCGGAAUUACUGGGCGUAAAGAGUUCGUAGGCGGACUGACAAGUUAGAGGUGAAAUCCCAGGGCUCAACCCUGGAACUGCCUUUAAAACUGUCAGUCUAGAGACCGGAAGAGGUUAGGGGAAUACCUAGUGUAGAGGUGAAAUUCGUAGAUAUUAGGUGGAACACCAGUGGCGAAGGCGCCUAACUGGUCCGGUACUGACGCUGAGGAACGAAAGCGUGGGGAGCAAACAGGAUUAGAUACCCGUGUAGUC